rnacentral:rRNA from 1 species
UAAUACGAAGGGACCUAGCGUAGUUCGGAAUUACUGGGCUUAAAGAGCUCGUAGGUGGUUAGAAAAGUUGGUGGUGAAAUCCCAAGGCUUAACCUUGGAACUGCUAUCAAAACUUUUUAACUAGAGUAUGAUAGAGGUAAGCGGAAUUUCUAGUGUAGAGGUGAAAUUCGUAGAUAUUAGAAAGAACACCAAUUGCGAAGGCAGCUUUCUGGAUCAUAACUGACACUGAGGAGCGAAAGCAUGGGUAGCGAAGAGGAUUAGAUACCCUCGUAGUCCAUGCCGUAAACGAUGUGUGCUAGACGUUGGAAACUUAGUUUUCAGUGUCGCAGCAAAAGCGUUAAGCACACCGCCUGGGGAGUACGACCGCAAGGUUA